AGCUUAACACAUGCAAGUCGAACGGACCGUAUACGCAGCUUGCUGCGUGUAUGGUUAGUGGCAGACGGGUGAGUAAUGCAUAGGAAUCUACCUAGUAGUAUGGGAUAGCCACUAGAAAUGGUGGGUAAUACUGUAUAAUCCCUGCGGGGGAAAGAUUUAUCGCUAUUAGAUGAGCCUAUGUCAGAUUAGCUAGUUGGUGGGGUAAUGGCCUACCAAGGCGGUGAUCUGUAGCUGGUCUGAGAGGAUGAUCAGCCACACUGGAACUGAGACACGGUCCAGACUCCUACGGGAGGCAGCAGUGGGGAAUAUUGGACAAUGGGCGCAAGCCUGAUCCAGCUAUGCCGCGUGAGUGAGGAAGGCCUUAGGGUUGUAAAACUCUUUCAGUA
rnacentral:rRNA from 1 species